UACGGGGGGAGCAAGCGUUGUUCGGAUUUACUGGGCGUAAAGGGCGCGUAGGGGGCCAGCACAAGUCAGUUGUGAAAUCUCCGAGCUUAACUCGGAACGGUCAACUGAUACUGUGCGGCUAGAGUGCAGAAGGGGCAACUGGAAUUCUUGGUGUAGCGGUGAAAUGCGUAGAUAUCAAGAGGAACACCUGCGGCGAAGGCGGGUUGCUGGGCUGACACUGACGCUGAGGCGCGAAAGCUAGGGGAGCAAACAGG
rnacentral:rRNA from 1 species